rnacentral:rRNA from 1 species
GGUUGAUCCUGCCGGACCCGACUGCUAUCAGAGUGAGAUUAAGCCAUGCGAGUUAACGUAGCAAUACGUGGCGCACGGCUCAGUAACACGCAGUCAACAUGCCCAGAGGACGUGGAUAACCUCGGGAAACUGAGUCUAAACCGCGAUAAGUGAGGAUUUCUGGAAUGGUUCUUGACUAAAAUCUAUAUGGCCUCUGGAUUGGACUGCGGCCGAUCAGGCUGUUGGUGAGGUAAUGGCCCACCAAACCUGUAACCGGUACGGGCUCUGAGAGGAGGAGCCCGGAGAUGGGCACUGAGACAAGGGCCCAGGCCCUAUGGGGCGCAGCAGGCGCGAAAUCUCUGCAAUAGGCGAAAGCUUGACAGGGUUACUCUGAGUGAUUCCCGCUAAGGGGAUCUUUUGGCACCUCUAAAAAUGGUGCAGAAUAAGGGGUGGGCAAGUCUGGUGUCAGCCGCCGCGGUAAUACCAGCACCCCGAGUGGUCGGGACGAUUAUUGGGCCUAAAGCAUCCGUAGCCGGUACUGCAAGUCUUCCGUUAAAUCCACCUGCUCAACAGUUGGGCUGCGGAGGAUACUACAGCGCUAGGAGGCGGGAGAGGCAAGCGGUACUCAGUGGGUAGGGGUAAAAUCCACUGAUCCAUUGAAGACCACCAGUGGCGAAGGCGGCUUGCCAGAACGCGCUCGACGGUGAGGGAUGAAAGCUGGGGGAGCAAACCGGAUUAGAUACCCGGGUAGUCCCAGCUGUAAACGAUGCAGACUCGGUGAUGGGCUGGCCUUGUGCCAACCCAGUGCCGCAGGGAAGCCGUUAAGUCUGCCGCCUGGGGAGUACGGUCGCAAGACUGAAACUUAAAGGAAUUGGCGGGAAUC